GUGUGCGCCAGGCGAGCUUGAGAAUGGGGCUCAUUAGAACUUCACAGUUAAGCGUGCUUGACCUAAAGUAGUACAGGGAUGGGUGACCUUCUGGGAAGUUUCCCAGAAAUUGCACAAU
rnacentral:rRNA from 1 species